AUUGAACGCUGGCGGCAGGCCUAACACAUGCAAGUCGAGCGGAUGAGAGGAGCUUGCUCCUCGAUUCAGCGGCGGACGGGUGAGUAAUGCCUAGGAAUCUGCCUAGUAGUGGGGGACAACGUUUCGAAAGGAACGCUAAUACCGCAUACGUCCUACGGGAGAAAGUGGGGGAUCUUCGGACCUCACGCUAUUAGAUGAGCCUAGGUCGGAUUAGCUAGUUGGUAGGGUAACGGCCUACCAAGGCGACGAUCCGUAACUGGUCUGAGAGGAUGACCAGCCACACUGGAACUGAGACACGGUCCAGACUCCUACGGGAGGCAGCAGUGGGGAAUAUUGCACAAUGGGCGCAAGCCUGAUGCAGCCAUGCCGCGUGUAUGAAGAAGGCCUUCGGGUUGUAAAGUACUUUCAGCGGGGAGGAAGGCGGUGAAGUUAAUAGCUUCACCGAUUGACGUUACCCGCAGAAGAAGCACCGGCUAACUCCGUGCCAGCCGCCGCGGUAA
rnacentral:rRNA from 1 species